CAGCAGGCGCGAAAACUUUACAAUGCGGGAAACCGUGAUAAGGGGACACCGAGUGCCAGCAUCAUAUGCUGGCUGUCCGGGUGUGUAAAAUACACCCGUUAGCAAGGGCCGGGCAAGACCGGUGCCAGCCGCCGCGGUAACACCGGCGGCCCGAGUGGUGAUCGUGAUUAUUGGGUCUAAAGGGUCCGUAGCCGGUUUGGUCAGUCCUCCGGGAAAUCUGACGGCUCAACCGUUAGGCUUUCGGGGGAUACUGCCAGGCUUGGAACCGGGAGAGGUAAGAGGUACUACAGGGGUAGGAGUGAAAUCUUGUAAUCCCUGUGAGACCACCUGUGGCGAAGGCGUCUUACCAGAACGGGUUCGACGGUGAGGGACGAAAGCUGGGGGCACGAACCGGAUUAGAUACCCGGGUAGUCCCAGCCGUAAACGAUGCUCGCUAGGUGUCAGGCAUGGCGCGACCGUGUCUGGUGCCGCAGGGAAGCCGUGAAGCGAGCCACCUGGGAAGUACGGCCGCAAGGCUGAAACUUAAAGGAA
rnacentral:rRNA from 1 species